CGCAGGUGUAUAUCUAUGCUGCUGCGGUUAAAAAGCUCGUAGUUGGAUCUGCGUGCUCGGAACCGGUUGGCUCACUGAGUUUAAACUGGUCUCCGGCGCUUUAUCGGCUGGUUUUCCCUUGAUGCUCUUAACCGGGUGUCUUGGGUGGCUAGCACGUUUACUUUGAAAAAAUUAGAGUGCUCAAUACAGGCGCAAAGCCUUGAAUAGUGGUGCAUGGAAUAAUAGAAUAGGACCUCGGUUCUAUUUUGUUGGUUUUCGUAUUGCGACGUUAGAGGUGAAAUUCUUGGAUCGUCGCAAGACGGACGACUGCGAAAGCAUUUGCCAAGAAUGUUUUCAUUAAUCAAGAACGAAAGUUAGAGGUU
rnacentral:rRNA from 1 species